UACGUAGGGUGCGAGCGUUGUCCGGAAUUAUUGGGCGUAAAGAGCUUGUAGGCGGUUUGUCGCGUCUGCUGUGAAAAUCCGGGGCUCAACCCCGGACUUGCAGUGGGUACGGGCAGACUAGAGUGUGGUAGGGGUGACUGGAAUUCCUGGUGUAGCGGUGAAAUGCGCAGAUAUCAGGAGGAACACCGAUGGCGAAGGCAGGUCUCUGGGCCACUACUGACGCUGAGAAGCGAAAGCAUGGGGAGCGAACAGG
rnacentral:rRNA from 1 species